CAGGCUUAACACAUGCAAGUCGAGGGGUAGGUUACUUCGGUAAUUGAGACCGGCGCACGGGUGCGUAACGCGUAUACAAUCUACCUUUACAGAGGGAUAGCCCAGAGUAAAUUUGGAUUAAUACCUCAUAGUAUUUUUGAAUCGCAUGAUUUGAUUAUUAAAGUUCCAACGGUAAAAGAUGAGCAUGCGUCCCAUUAGCUAGUUGGUAAGGUAACGGCUUACCAAGGCUACGAUGGGUAGGGGGUCCUGAGAGGGAGAUCCCCCACACUGGUACUGAGACACGGACCAGACUCCUACGGGAGGCAGCAGUGAGGAAUAUUGGACAAUGGGCGCAAGCCUGAUCCAGCCAUGCCGCGUGCAGGAUGACGGUCCUAUGGAUUGUAAACUGCUUUUGUACAGGAAGAAACACUACUUCGUGAAGUAGCUUGACGGUACUGUAAGAAUAAGGAUCGGCUAACUCCGUG
rnacentral:rRNA from 1 species